rnacentral:rRNA from 1 species
UACGUAGGGACCGAGCGUUGUCCGGAAUCAUUGGGCGUAAAGAGCUCGUAGGCGGUUCGGCAAGUCAGGUGUAAAAACUCCAGGCUCAACUUGGAGAGGCCACCUGAUACUGCCGUGACUAGAGUCCGGUAGAGGAGCACGGAAUUCCUGGUGUAGCGGUGAAAUGCGCAGAUAUCAGGAAGAACACCCGUGGCGAAGGCGGCUUUCUGGGACGGUACUGACGCUGAGACGCGAAAGCGUGGGGAGCGAACAGG